rnacentral:rRNA from 2 species
UUUAUAUGAGAGUUUGAUCCUGGCUCAGGAUGAACGCCGGCGGUGUGCCUAAUACAUGCAAGUCGAACGCGUUGGCCCAAUUGAUUGACGGUGCUUGCACCUGAUUGAUUUUGGUCGCCAACGAGUGGCGGACGGGUGAGUAACACGUAGGUAACCUGCCCAGAAGCGGGGGACAACAUUUGGAAACAGAUGCUAAUACCGCAUAACAGCGUUGUUCGCAUGAACAACGCUUAAAAGAUGGCUUCUCGCUAUCACUUCUGGAUGGACCUGCGGUGCAUUAGCUUGUUGGUGGGGUAACGGCCUACCAAGGCGAUGAUGCAUAGCCGAGUUGAGAGACUGAUCGGCCACAAUGGGACUGAGACACGGCCCAUACUCCUACGGGAGGCAGCAGUAGGGAAUCUUCCACAAUGGGCGCAAGCCUGAUGGAGCAACACCGCGUGAGUGAAGAAGGGUUUCGGCUCGUAAAGCUCUGUUGUUAAAGAAGAACACGUAUGAGAGUAACUGUUCAUACGUUGACGGUAUUUAACCAGAAAGUCACGGCUAACUACGUGCCAGCAGCCGCGGUAAUACGUAGGUGGCAAGCGUUAUCCGGAUUUAUUGGGCGUAAAGAGAGUGCAGGCGGUUUUCUAAGUCUGAUGUGAAAGCCUUCGGCUUAACCGGAGAAGUGCAUCGGAAACUGGAUAACUUGAGUGCAGAAGAGGGUAGUGGAACUCCAUGUGUAGCGGUGGAAUGCGUAGAUAUAUGGAAGAACACCAGUGGCGAAGGCGGCUACCUGGUCUGCAACUGACGCUGAGACUCGAAAGCAUGGGUAGCGAACAGGAUUAGAUACCCUGGUAGUCCAUGCCGUAAACGAUGAGUGCUAGGUGUUGGAGGGUUUCCGCCCUUCAGUGCCGGAGCUAACGCAUUAAGCACUCCGCCUGGGGAGUACGACCGCAAGGUUGAAACUCAAAGGAAUUGACGGGGGCCCGCACAAGCGGUGGAGCAUGUGGUUUAAUUCGAAGCUACGCGAAGAACCUUACCAGGUCUUGACAUCUUGCGCCAACCCUAGAGAUAGGGCGUUUCCUUCGGGAACGCAAUGACAGGUGGUGCAUGGUCGUCGUCAGCUCGUGUCGUGAGAUGUUGGGUUAAGUCCCGCAACGAGCGCAACCCUUGUUACUAGUUGCCAGCAUUAAGUUGGGCACUCUAGUGAGACUGCCGGUGACAAACCGGAGGAAGGUGGGGACGACGUCAGAUCAUCAUGCCCCUUAUGACCUGGGCUACACACGUGCUACAAUGGACGGUACAACGAGUCGCGAACUCGCGAGGGCAAGCAAAUCUCUUAAAACCGUUCUCAGUUCGGACUGCAGGCUGCAACUCGCCUGCACGAAGUCGGAAUCGCUAGUAAUCGCGGAUCAGCAUGCCGCGGUGAAUACGUUCCCGGGCCUUGUACACACCGCCCGUCACACCAUGAGAGUUUGUAACACCCAAAGUCGGUGGGGUAACCUUUUAGGAGCCAGCCGCCUAAGGUGGGACAGAUGAUUAGGGUGAAGUCGUAACAAGGUAGCCGUAGGAGAACCUGCGGCUGGAUCACCUCCUUUCUA